AGCCAGGCGGCGGUUCGCUCCCACGCGUGCCUGCCCCAUUUGGCUGUGUGCUUGGCGGAGGUUCCAGGGUGCUCUUCGUUGAGUGUCCCGGUGCGCCGUCAGGUUUACUUUGAAAAAAUUAGAGUGCUCAAAGCAGGCUUUUCAGGCUUGAAUAUUCGUGCAUGGAAUAAUGGAAUAGGAACUCGUUCCUAUUUUGUUGGUUUUCGGAAAUCAAGUUAAUGAUUAAUAGGGACAAUUGGGGGCAUUAGUAUUCAAACGACAGAGGUGAAAUUGUUGGACCGUUUGAAGACUAACUACUGCGAAAGCAUUUGCCAAGAGUGUUGGCA
rnacentral:rRNA from 1 species